rnacentral:lncRNA from 1 species
UCCAUAGAGAACAUGGAACCUUGUGAACAGGCAUCACAAUGAAGUGACAGCCACCUUCCAAGCUCAUUUCCUUGGAGACAGCCAACAGCAAACAUUCUGAGCUUCAUCUCCACUUUGAGAGGUCACAGCUUCAGGAGCUCAGGCAGGGAAAGCAUCUGAGAACCAGUGAGAAGAUGAUUGACUCCAUCCAGGCACCUCAGGACACACUGCAGGAGCCACCCAGAUAUCAAGGACAGCCUAGAGCAGAGCCUUUACAAUGAAGUUUAACACGUACAUUCCUUUGACAAUGAACAGCUUUCCACCAUGAAAUGGACAGAUGAGGAAGAAGAUCUAUGUACUGUACCAUGGAGUUAGAAGGAGCCUUUAAGAUUUCUGAGCUAAACAAGGACUCUCAACUCUUACUUCGUGUAUUCUCUUUUGUACCAGAAGGUCCUGGAAUACCUUGUCCAGAACAUAAAUCCAUUUUCUGCAGAGGUGCAUGCCUCUGGAGAAAGCUUUAUUCUACAAAUGGCCAUACUUUUCAAGCUAAACCUUUCAAUGGACACUUUCAUUAUGCCAUCUGCACAGACUGGAUGGGGGACUCAGACCACAGGUACAUAAGGGUAUCAACUGUCAAUACUUGGCUCAUAAGGAGUGCCAUAAAUCUCGCCAAUGCAUAUGGGUGGCAUUGUUUGCCACUGGAACCCAUGAGGCCAAUGGCCUCCAGAACCUGCACGGACAGUCAACCCUUAUAA